GAACGGGUGAGUACACGUGGGUGAUCUGCCCUGCACUUUGGGAUAAGCCUGGGAAACUGGGUCUAAUACCGAAUAGGACCACGCGCUUCAUGGUGUGUGGUGGAAAGCUUUUGCGGUGUGGNANNNGCCCGCGGCCUAUCAGCUUGUUGGUGGGGUAAUGGCCUACCAAGGCGACGACGGGUAGCCGGCCUGAGAGGGUGACCGGCCACACUGGGACUGAGAUACGGCCCAGACUCCUACGGGAGGCAGCAGUGGGGAAUAUUGCACAAUGGGCGCAAGCCUGAUGCAGCGACGCCGCGUGAGGGAUGACGGCCUUCGGGUUGUAAACCUCUUUCAAUAGGGACGAAGCGCAAGUGACGGUACCUAUAGAAGAAGCACCGGCCAACUACGUGCCAGCAGCCGCGGUAAUACGUAGGGUGCGAGCGUUGUCCGGAACUACUGGGCGUAAAGAGCUCGUAGGUGGUUUGUCGCGUUGUUCGUGAAAACUCACAGCUUAACUGUGGGCGUGCGGGCGAUACGGGCAGACUAGAGUACUGCAGGGGAGACUGGAAUUCCUGGUGUAGCGGUGGAAUGCGCAGAUAUCAGGAGGAACACCGGUGGCGAAGGCGGGUCUCUGGGCAGUAACUGACGCUGAGGAGCGAAAGCGUGGGGAGCGAACAGGAUUAGAUACCCUGGUAGUCCACGCCGUANACGGUGGGUACUAGGUGUGGGUUCCUUCCUUGGGAUCCGUGCCGUAGCUAACGCAUUAAGUACCCCGCCUGGGGAGUACGGCCGCAAGGCUAAAACUCAAAGGAAUUGACNNNGGCCCGCACAAGCGGC
rnacentral:rRNA from 1 species